rnacentral:tRNA from 1 species
GGCUGUAGCUCAUUGGUAGAGCAUCCGCCUUGCACAUGUGAGGCACUGGGUUCAAUCCUCAGCACCA